rnacentral:rRNA from 1 species
CACGUAGGGGGCGAGCGUUGUCCGGAUUUAUUGGGCGUAAAGAGCUCGUAGGCGGCUCGGUAAGUCAGGUGUGAAAACUCUAGGCUCAACCUAGAGACGCCACCUGAUACUGCUGUGGCUAGAGUCCGGUAGGGGGAGCAUGGAAUUCCUGGUGUAGCGGUGAAAUGCGCAGAUAUCAGGAGGAACACCAGUGGCGGAAGGCGGUGCUCUGGGCCGGAACUGACGC